AUGGCGUUCUUCGAGGAGACGGAGUCGUACUACGUCCCCUACCUCCGCGCCCACCUGCACCAAUUCGCAGCGUCGGUCUCCGCGGCGAGCUGCGAGGAGGGGGCGGGCGACGACGAGGAGUGCCGCGACGAGGCGGCCGCGCUCAGGCUCAAGAUGGUGGCCGUCGCCGCCAUCCUCAUCGCCGGCGCGGUCGGCGUCGCCAUCCCGCUCGUCGGCCGGAGGCGGCGCGGCGGGGGCGGCGGCGGCGAGGGCGGGUCCUCCGGCGGCGGGAUGUUCGUGCUCGCCAAGGCGUUCGCGGCGGGGGUCAUCCUCGCCACGGGGUUCGUGCACAUGAUGCACGACGCCGAGGAGAAGUUCGCCGACCCGUGCCUCCCGGCCAUGCCGUGGCGCCGGUUCCCCUUCCCGGGCUUCAUCGCCAUGCUCGCCGCGCUGGGCACGCUCGUCAUGGAGUUCGUCGGCACCCGCUUCUACGAGCGCAGGCACGGCGAGGAGGCCGCUGCAGCCGCGGCCACAGCCGCGCGUGACGACACCACGGCGCUGCUCGAGGACGGCUCCCUGUCAGGGAUGGCUGCCGCCGCGAUGAGCGGCGACGAUGAGAAGCAGGACGCCAUGCACAUCGUGGGCAUGCGCGCGCACGCGGCGGCGCACCAGCACAGCCAUGCGCAUGGCCAUGACGCGUGCGAUGGUGGAGCCGUGUACGACGCCCAUGCACACGCCCACGCCCAGGGCCAUGGCCAUGACCAUGGGCAUGGGAGCGAGGAGAGGCCGUCCCAAGCUCAUCAUGUGGUUGUCUCGCAGAUUAUGGAGACGGGGAUUGUAUCUCAUUCGGUGAUUAUCGGGCUAUCCUUGGGCGUUUCGCAAAGCCCAUGUACCAUUAAACCUCUUGUUGCCGCCCUCUCCUUCCACCAGUUCUUCGAGGGUUUUGCCUUGGGUGGCUGCAUUUCUGAGGCGCAGUUCAAGAAUUUCUCUGCACUCCUGAUGGCUUUCUUCUUUGCUAUCACAACACCUGCUGGGAUCACCGUGGGGGCGGGGAUCGCGUCAUUCUACAAUGCCAACAGCCCCAGGGCAUUGGUGGUGGAAGGCAUUCUGGAUUCAAUGUCAUCUGGUAUACUGGUCUAUAUGGCAUUAGUGGAUCUCAUUGCUGCUGAUUUCCUGAGCCGGAGGAUGAGCUGCAAUCCGAGGCUGCAAGUGUGCUCAUACGUUGCCUUGUUUGUCGGGGCUAUUGCCAUGUCAUCACUGGCUAUUUGGGCUUAG
rnacentral:rRNA from 1 species